GUUCAAGAAAGCUAAAGAUGAAUAUAAUGACUUAUUAUCCAAGAAAAACAUCAUUGAGAAUGAUAAGUCAAAAAUCAAGAAGGUGAUUGAAGAGCUUGAUGAAAAGAAGAAGGAAACACUAAAAGUUACUUGGGUUAAAGUGAACAAGCUGACAAACUAAAGAAGUCAAUGGAGGA